UUAACCGUAGGCAACAUCGGAGGGUCAUCGAGGGACAAAGUUGUAUAUUCGAAGGCAACAUCCGAGGGACUAUGAUUUAUUUUAUGAUGAUUUAACCGAAGGGUCUUUGCUAAGUGUAUCCCUACAUUCGCGGGACAUGAUCGUAAUACCGUAAUCGUGGAGUAACAAAGAGAGGUCCGAUAUCACUUAUUUAAAGGCAAAGUUUUACAUUCAAUUAAGUGGCCGUAAUCAAGUAGGUAAUU
rnacentral:lncRNA from 1 species